AAAGUAACUCAGUCCAGUUGGUGAACAACUAGGAAGAAAUAUUUCAGAUCAUUUAAAAAAAUUCCACUGAAAUGAAUAUGGUCUGAACCCAAACAAUUAUGCUCCUAUGCAUGGAGCAAACCCCACCCUCACUAGCACUGAUGAUGUUACCUAGUUGGGUAAUAAAACUUCUGCAACCAAUCAACCAGACUCAGAGAACACCAAGACUAUAUAGCUAAAGUUUCCUAAUCAACUACUUCUCUAAUUUUGUUGUUGUUGUUAGUUGCAAAGGAGUGUCCAACCCAUCAUGACCCCAUGGACAACGUUCCUCCAGGCUUUCCUGUACUCUACCAUCCUCUGGAGUCCAUUUUUUUAAAAAAUAGAUUUAUAUGCCGCCCUUCUCCGGAGACUCAGGGCGGCUUACAAUGCGUUAAGCAAUAGCCUUCAUACUUUUGUAUAUUUAUACAAAGUCAGCUUAUUGCCCCCACAAUCUGGGUCCUCAUUUCACCUACCUUUGAAAGGAUGGAAAGCUGAGUCAACCUUGAGCCUGGUGAGAUUUGAACUUGCAGUAAUUGCAAGCAGCAGAUGUUAAUAACAGUGUUUUAGUCCACUGUACUGCAGGCUCUUCUUCUCCAUUGAGUCCUUCUCAUUAGGUGGCCAAAGUAUUUGAGUUUCAUCUUCAGGAUCUGGCCUUCUAAAGAGCAGUCAGGGUUGAUCUCCUCUAGGACUGACUGGUUUGAUCGCUUAAUUCAAAGGCCUCAAUUCUUUGGUGCUCAGCUUUUCUUAUGGUCCAACUUUCACAGCCAUACAUUGCAACUGGGAACACCAUAGCCUUGACUAUACACACUUUUGUUGGCAGGGUGAUGUCUCUGCUUUUUAGUAUGCUGUCUAGAUUUGCCAUAGCUUUCUUCCUGAGGAGCAAACAUCUUUUAAUUUCUUGGCUGCAGUCCCCAUCUGUGGUGAUCUUCGAGCCCAGGAAAAUAAAAUCUGUCACUACCUCCAUUUCUUCCCCAUUUAUUUGCCACGAAUUCAGAGGGCCAGAUGCUAUGAUCUUAGUUUUCUUAAUGUUGAGUUUCAAGCCAACUUUUGCACUCUCCUUCUUCACCUGCAUUAAGAGGCUCUUUAAUACCUCUUCACUUUCUGCCAUUAGAGUGGUGUCAUCUGCAUAUAUGAGGUUGUUGAUAUUUCUCCCAGCAAUCUUAACUCCAACUUUUGAUUCAUCUAGCCCCGCCUUUCUCAUGAUGUGCUCUGCAUAUAAGUUAAAUAGGCAGGGCGACAGUAUACAGCCUUGCCGGACUCCUUUCCCAAUUUUGAACCAAUCAGUGGAUCCGUGUCCAGUUCUCACUGUUGCUUCUUGGCCUGCAUAUAGGUUUCUCAAGAGACAAAUAAGAUGGUCUGGUACUCCCAUCUCUUUAAGAACUUGCCACAAUUUGUUGUAAUCCAUACAAUCAAGGGCUUUAGCAUAGUCAAUGAAGCAGAAGUAGAUGUUUUUCUAGAACUCCCUAGCUUUCUCCAUGAUCCAGCAUAUCUUGGCAAUUUGAUCUCUAGUUCCUCUACCUCUUUGAAAUCCUGUCUGAACUUCUGAUAGUUUUCCAGCUAGGAACUCGAGACUCCAGGCAUGGAUAUCAUUCUGUCUUCUGGCUCUAUGGACUGAGUUCAAUCUUAAAGAGACAUCCUCCUUUGCACAUAUUCCCAGAUUCAACUCAGUCCUGAGCUCAGUUGGAAGGAUUUAGAGUUCUCUCUAGUUUAAAUUUAAUUUAAACUCAAGGGAUAAUGUUUCUGAUUUAUAUAUUUUUUUUUUGGUUUUUCUUUUCCUUUGUGUGUGUAACUUGAGUUUUAAAGAGUUUUUCAGAGUCACGGCAAUGCGAUUUGGUGGCGGCGACUAUCGGGCGCAUGUGCUGAAGAAAGAUCGUCGUGGGAGGGGGUUUCCUCGGCUGAGGAGCCCUUGCUGCAUCCAUGCCCAGCCUUAAAUUUAUUUUUGUUGCCUAGGUUUGAAGAGUGCUAGGCUGGGGGAUCUCAGCUGUUUGGCGGCUAGAAGAAAUGGCCGCCAUUUUGUGAAGUGCCGAGCUGCGUGUGGGCUCUGAUCAGGCAGUGGACGUCGGGAUUCAGCCAUUACUGCCUUGUGCCCUUACCACAUACCCUCCAAGGCUGUAAGUAGUAAGGAGGGGGGUGGAAGCACCGUUUAGAGGACCUUGGGCAUUUUGGUGCCAAAGAAGGCUGAGGAGGCCGCCGGAUGCGGCGGCCAUUUUGUUUCCCCCUAUUUUUAAAGGCACAGAGCAGCAGCUGCCAUAGGGUUCAGGUUCUCGGCCCUCUAAUGCAUCUUAAGCCCUCAGGGACGCACAAAGGAGUCCGGACCCGGGUUCUAUUCCCCUGAGGUGAAGAGGAAGCCUGGUCACAGUUUGCUGACCAGGGAGGGGAGGGCCAUAGUGCAGUGAUGUGUAGUCUGCACAGGUCUUUUUUCCCCUCUUUUGAACUGGAGAACUAGACUGAUUUCUUACUUCAGCUCCACUUCUAAGCUACGUAUUUUGCCUCAAAGGAUCGUUUUUCAUCAGAUCAAGUGAGGCUGUUUCAUCUAUUCUGCAGUUGAGGAUUAUUCCUUGCAAUACUGGUGGAAUAGAGAUUUAAGGUGUUUUUCUGGACACAGUAUGGAGAGCAGUGGAGCGUCUCACAGAAGAUCUACCCGCAGCACUAAUAGCGGCCAUGGGUCUAAGUCUGGCAGUCAGAGUGCAGCAGCAAAGAUCAAGGCCAAGACUAUGGCUCUCACAUGCCCAUUAAGUGCGCAGGAAAGGGCAGAGAAGAGAUUACAUGAUGCUUUAGAACAGCAACUGGCAAAGAGUCAAAAGGCAGCAGCAAAGCGUAGACAUUUAGAUAGUCCACAGCCUGCUCAAGAUUCUGAUUUAGCAGAACCAGGGCCUUCUACCAGUUUGUUAGUGUCUAGAGAAUUAUCUCCUCCACCUUUGGAAAGAGAGCAGGUAGGGGAACAGGAACAGAGUCUAUCUCCUUCACCUGCGGUGCCACCUCAACCAGAGGGUCAGGCCUCUGGACAGGAAGUUGAGAUGCCUGCGAUUGUGCAGCAAUGGAUUGCUGAGGCAGUGCAGCGGGGCUUUGCAGCUGGUCCUAAAGAUCACAGCGAAAGAAUGUGGAGGUGGUUAAGCCACAGAGUUCUGUUGAACAGAGACCAGCUAGGUCACAGCCAAAAUGGGAAUCUGAGGUCUCAGUUUCCUCUUCAGAGUCAGGGAGCUCAUUAGCAGGUGUUUCUGAGUGGUGGGAUCAGGAAUUUUCUGAGGAAGAAGGUCUCUUACCGAAACAGCCUGUAUUCAAGGGGUUGUUUCAACCACAUCUUUUUCAGGCUUUGCUCAUGAAGGCUAAGGUCACCACAAAGCAGGGUACUUCGGAAGAGACAAGGGUUGGAUCAGAACAGGAUCCAGCAGAUUUACUGUUUUCAGAACCAGUUGCAGAAACUGAUAUUAUACCAGCUCCCCAGAUGUUUCUAGACAUGAUUAAGAAACAGUAGGAUUCACCAGGAACUCAUACCAGCUCCUCUUCUUAUGAAAGGAGAUUUUAUAACACCACACCUGUUCUCACGGAGCUCCUGCAUAUCCCAGAUGUGGAUGAAUAGGUGCUAGCAUUGUCCUCUUCCUCAGCUACCUUAGCCGAGCCAGAAGAGGUGCUAAAACCGGAUGACCGUAAGUUAGAGCAGGCUCUUAAGAGGGCUCACCAGGCGGCAGCCUGAGGAAUCAAAGUAGCCACGGCAGCGUCCUUCUUCACCAGGGCAUCGCUGUUGUGGCUUAAACAGAUGCAGGACAGGGUACCGGUUUCAGAUCUCAGAGCUCAUCAGGAUUUCAAUAAGAUAGUGGCAGCAGCGGAGUAUACAGCUGAUACCACUCUACAUUCAGCAAAAUUUGGAGCGCGAGCCAUUGCUUCUACGGUGGUGGCUAGGAAACUCUUAUGGUUAAAAAAUUGGCAGGCAGAUUCCAAGCGUAGAUGGCGCUUGGCCUCUGUUCCUUUUAAAGGAUCCAAGUUAUUUGGGUCAGCUUUAGAUCCCCUUUUAUCUGAACCAAAGGACAGGAAGAAGGUUCUUCCAGCUUUAUCACGAGAGGCGGACACCCGAUCUACUUCACAGGAUCGGAGGUCUUAUUUUCAUCCAUAUGGGGGAGCAGGUUUCUAUAAAGGUCAGAGAUGGUUUUACCAAGGCCAGGGCAUUCAAGCAGGGCAGUUCCAUCAGUCGGGGAUGGGACAAUCAGAUAGGAACAGAGCAGGUCAGCCCAAGCGUUCCUUUCAUGGAGGGAAUUCACGUUCCUUUCGCAGAUCCUGUUGACUGGAGGCUCGAAGCUUCCAUUGGUGGCCAGCUAGGCCUUUUUGCAGACCAGUGGGAGAAAUCCAUCACAGAUGCAUGGGUAAGGGAGACCAUCACUUAGGUCUAGCUCUAGAAUUUCUUGUGGUUCCCCCAAGGGUUUUUGUCUGUUGCCCAAAGUCAAGAGAUGUAACAAAGAGAAGGUGUAUGGAAACAGCCAUUCAGCAUCUGAUAGACAUAGCAGCAGUGGAGCCCGUCCCCUUAUCAGAACAGGGGAAGGGUUAUUACUCAAUGCUGUUUGUCAUACAAAAACCCUCGGGGGAACUUCGACCAAUUCUAAACUUGAAGGGCCUAAACAAGUUCUUGAGGUAUCGGAGGUUCAAGAUGCACUCCCUCUGGUCAAUUUUGGCAAAUGUUCGGAGCGGGGACUUCUUGACCUCCAUCGACCUCACAGAUGCAUAUCUGCACAUUCCAAUUCAUCAGGAGUACUGACGGUACCUGAGGUUUUAUUACGACAGCAGACACCUCCAAUACCGAGCGCUUCCAUUCGGCCUAGCCUCUGCUCCCAGGGUCUUCACAAAGAUCCUGGCGGCAUUGGGAGAGGUACUCAGGUCCAAGCCGAUUCAUCUCCAGGCUUACCUGGAUGACAUUUUGGUGCAGUCAACAUCUCUAGCUCGGGCGGAGUCAGAUCUGAAUAUCACGGUCGAAUGUCUACAGGCUCACGGGUUCUCUAUAAAUAUAGAGAAGAGCCAUUUUCUCCCAACAAAUUGCCUCAUUCACCUAGGGGCAGUUAUAGACACCAUUCAGUUCCUUCUCCAGACAGGUUGGAGGACAUCAAGAGUUUGACCAGAUGGGUGAUGCCUGCACCCAAAGUGACUUUAGCACAGCUCUCCACCCUGUUAAGCAAGAUGAUUUCGUGCAUAGAGAUUGUGCCAUGGGUGAGGUUUCACACCAGGCCUCUGCAAUGGUUCAUGUUACCGUUUCAGAAGUCAGGAAGGGCAACAAGGUCAGGAUUCUGGGGUUGGUCAGAGCAUCCCUGAGCUGGUGGAUGUCCAGACGGCUGUCACAGGGAUGUUACUUCCUAGAACAGGAGAGAGUCACAGUGACCACAGACGCCAGUUUAGUAGGAUGGGGGUGCUCAUUGCCAGCAUCAGAUGGCGCAGGGUGUUUGGUCACGGACGGAGGCACGGAAGUGCAUCAAUUGGCUAGAGCUGAGGGUGGCAUGCUUGGCACUCAGGCACUUCAGUCCCUACCUCUUGAACCACCAUGUACUCCUUAUGACAGACAACAUUACAGUAAAAGCCCAUGUAAACAGGCAGGGGGGUACACGAUCCCAGACUCUCAUGAAGGAGGCAGAGAGGCUCUGUCAUUGGGUGAAGCAAAAUUUGGGGUCCAUCAAAAUGGAACAUUUGGCCGGACAGGACAACACGUGGGCGGAUUGGCUAAGCAGGGAGGCCUUAGAUCAGUCGGAAUGGGGGCUGGACCCGACAUUAUUCCAGGAGAUUGUGAAACGUUUCGGUCAGCCGACUAUCGACCUCUUCACCUCACGGACGAAUGCCCAGCUACCCCGGUUUUUCGCUCGAUUCCCAUGUCAGGGAGCGGAAGGAGUAGACGCUCUUCAUUGCCCUUGGCCCGAGGGCCUGUUAUUUGCCUUUCCCCCUCUGACACUUCUUCCGAAGGUCAUCAGUCAUAUUCUUCACUUCAGGGCAGAGCUCAUCCUGGUAGCUCCUCCUUGGCCACGGCGACCGUGGUUUGCGGAUCUGGUGAGUCUAUCGGUCGCACCGCCCUGGAAGAUUCCGCCCGAUAGGGUCUGCCUCUCUCAGGGACCCGUUUGUCACCCAGAUCCGCAAUGGCUUUACUUAAGCGUGUGGAGGUUGAGCGGCGAUUGCUUGAAGGGAGAAAUUUCACCACAAGCGUGAUAGAGACCAUGCAGGCUGCCAGGCGCCCGUCGACGGCACACAUUUAUAACUCCACCUGGUGAACAUUCUGUUUGUGGUGCUCGGGGCGGAGGAUUCAGGCGACCAAGGCAACAGUGCAGCAGCUUCUGGAGUUUCUGCAAGCUGGGUUGGAGAAAGGGUUAUCACCAGCAACCCUUCGUAGGCAAGUGGCUGCUUUAGCUUCAGUGUUAUCGUGUGGGAGGAGAAUUUCUGUUGCUCAACAUCCUGAUGUAAGGAUUUUCCUCGGGGGGGGGGGGGGGGGACUAACUUGAGACCAGCGGUGGUACACCGUUAUCCCACCUGGGAUCUCCAGAAGGUGUUACAGGCCUUGUCUACUACACCUUUUGCACCACUUAGGCAGGUCCACCUCAGUUUCUUAACAUAUAAGACUCUUUUCCUUGUGGCCAUUAUAUCGGCCAGACGCCGAUUUUAGAGCUUGCGGCUCUCUCUGUGAGGGAAGACUUGUGUAUCUUUCAUGCGGAUAGAGUUGUUCUACGUUUAGAUCCGGCCUUCAUAACCAAAAUUAAUUUGUGGUUCCAUCGGGCACAAGAAUUGGUACUUCCAGAUUUUUGCCCGAAUCCAUCUCACUCCAGGGAAAAGCUCUGGCAUAAGCUGGAUGUGAGACUAGCAUUAAGGAUUUACAUUAAGAAGACAAGGUCAUUUCGGAGAUCGGAGGCCUUAUUUGUAUCCUUCUUGCCAGCUAUGAUGGGGCUGAAGCUUACCAGCUCAGCAGUGGGCAGAUCGAUCAGGGCUACCAUCGCCAGAGCUUAUGAAGCUCAGUCACUGCCUCGGCCCAGGGGGAUAACUGCUCAUUCGACUCACAGUACGGCUACCAGCGCGGCCUGGGCAACUAGAGCAUCAGUGGAAGAGAUCUGCAGAGCGGCGACGUGGUCAUCUCCCUCCCCGUUCAUCCGACACUACCAGAUUGAUGCUUAUGCCUCAGCAGAGGCUGCAUUUGGACGGAGGGUUCUGCAACGUGUGUUGGAGAUGCCCAGAUUGGAGGACCAGACUUCUUCCCACCCUUGAGGACUGUUGGCUUUGGUAAGUCCCAUGCCUGGAGUUUCGAGUUCCUAGCUGAAAAAUGGGUGUUGGUCCUACCUGAUACACCCUUUUCCGGCAGGAACGAGAAACUCCAGCCCCACCCUGAUUUGGGGGUCUGGUCUUGGAGGUGUCCUUGGGGUGCCAUUGCAGGUGCACUAUCCUGGAAACCUCGUGGGACAUCGUUGAAUCUGGGAGCGUGUGCAAAGGAGGGCGUCUCUUUAAGAUUGAACUCAGUCCAUAGAGCCAGAAGACAGAGUGAUACCCAUGCCUGGAGUCUCUCAUUCCUGCUGAAAAAGGGUGUAUCAGGCAUGUCUCUCCUGCCACCAACAGAUCCACCGGAACGCUCCCAUCUGUCCUCUCUGCAAAGCCAAAAGCCGAUCACGUAAUCCAAAGAAA